UCCCUGCUUCUCAUUUCUUUCUUUUUCUUCUUUUUCAUUUUCAGUAGAACACUCUCUACUCUCAUCCUCUCCACUGGCACUUCCACACCACCACCAUCACCAUUUCCACCAUCAUUUUUCCGGCAAGAUCACGGGAAAAUUCUUGGGAACCCAUAAACACCUUCACAUCCUUUUUUUUGAGUAAAAAUUUCUCAUUUUUUUGUGGGUUUUGCACUUUUGCUUGAGGUUAUUUUUAUCUAAGUUUUAAUAAUGAUACUCAUAUGAUUUAUGAGCAUAGGAAGUGAUAUUUAUGUGUUUUUAUGUAUGGGUUUUGUAUUGGUGGAAUUAUUUGAUGAGUGGGUAUAUGGUUUGUGCUAAUGAUUACUACCUAAAAUUUAUUUAUGGUGGAAAAUUUAGGAGUUUUAAGUUAUAACAUAUGAUGGUUGGUAAAUUUAAUUUUUCCAUUGCCAUUGGGUUUAUUUGGAGUUGGAGAUGAUAUUGAAUGGGUUAAAUUUAUAAAUUGGAGUCUAUGCCUUGUGAAUUAAUUUGUUGAGAAACUUUAGAAGAGGAAUAUGUUAUUGAUGAGGUUAAAUGCUAGGCUUGCCUAAUUAAGUGCAUAUUUGGCAAUUCCUAAAUUGUAGCUAGAUACAAUUUUAAGCUUUAUGCUUAUUGUGUUAGAUUUGCUUGAUAUUGUUGAGGUUCUAGCUAAUCUCCUUUGGAGUUUGGAGAAUUAGGCUUUUGCGGUUGCAAGUCUUACAGAUUAAUUAGCUAUAUCAUGGGAAUGGAGCUUGCCUUAUCGGUAGUGAUUGGAGUUUUAUGCUGAAUUGGGAGACUUACAUUACUAAUGGUUGGUGACUCGAUCUUGCUAUGUUCAAUGAGACCUUAAUUAAUUCUAUUGGAGGUUGGUCACUUGAGGUUUGUUAGCCUUAGGCGUGGUAGGCCUAGACUCGAUAUUAAGAUUCCUUAUCCUUGAUAAGAUUGUGAUUUUGUGUAAUCCAAGAGUUUUGUAAUAUAUAUUCAUGUAUUAUGUGGAAGCACCUGAUUUUUAGUUA